AACGCACAUUGCGCCCUUUGGUAUUCCGAAGGGCAUGCCUGUUCGAGCGUCAUUACACCUUCUACAAAGGUUUUGGGGAUGGCACAGCCGCCCUUAAAAAGCUUGGUGGUAACUGGAACCCACGCACAGUAAUCUCUGCGAAGGCGACCAGGUAAACACCGAAAACUCUUCUGUUUGACCUCGGAUCAGGUAGGGAUACCCGCUGAACUUAA
rnacentral:misc_RNA from 1 species